AGAGGUCCCAAGCGUUGUUCGGAUUCACUGGGCGUAAAGGGUGCGUAGGCGGUGGGGUAAGUCUGGUGUGAAAGCUCGGAGCUCAACUCCGAAAUGUCAUCGGAAACUACUUCACUAGAGGUUUGGAGGGGGGACUGGAAUUCUCGGUGUAGCAGUGAAAUGCGUAGAUAUCGAGAGGAACACCAGUGGCGAAGGCGAGUCCCUGGACAAAUCCUGACGCUGAGGCACGAAAGCUAGGGGAGCAAACAGGAUUAGAUACCCUGGUAGUCCUAGCUGUAAACGGUGCACGUUUGCUGUGAGCGGAUUCGACCCCGUUCGUGGCGUAGUGACGCGAUAAACGUGCCGCCUGGGGAGUACGGUCGCAAGAUUA
rnacentral:rRNA from 1 species